CGGUCUUUCACAUGCAGUCGGACGGCAGCACGGGCUUCGGCCUGGUGGCGAGUGGCGAACGGGUGAGUAAUGUAUCGGAACGUGCCCAGUAGCGGGGGAUAACUACACGAAAGCGUGGCUAAUACCGCAUACGCCCUACGGGGGAAAGCGGGGGACCUUCGGGCCUCGCACUAUUGGAGCGGCCGAUAUCGGAUUAGCUAGUUGGUGGGGUAACGGCCUACCAAGGCGACGAUCCGUAGCUGGUUUGAGAGGACGACCAGCCACACUGGGACUGAGACACGGCCCAGACUCCUACGGGAGGCAGCAGUGGGGAAUUUUGGACAAUGGGGGCAACCCUGAUCCAGCCAUCCCGCGUGUGCGAUGAAGGCCUUCGGGUUGUAAAGCACUUUUGGCAGGAAAGAAACGGCACGGGCUAAUAUCCUGUGCAACUGACGGUACCUGCAGAAUAAGCACCGGCUAACUACGUGCCAGCAGCCGCGGUAAUACGUAGGGUGCAAGCGUUAAUCGGAAUUACUGGGCGUAAAGCGUGCGCAGGCGGUUCGGAAAGAAAGAUGUGAAAUCCCAGGGCUUAACCUUGGAACUGCAUUUUUAACUACCGGGCUAGAGUGUGUCAGAGGGAGGUGGAAUUCCGCGUGUAGCAGUGAAAUGCGUAGAUAUGCGGAGGAACACCGAUGGCGAAGGCAGCCUCCUGGGAUAACACUGACGCUCAUGCACGAAAGCGUGGGGGAGCAACAGGAUUAGAUACCCUGGUAGUCACGCCCUAAACGAUGUCAACUAGCUGUUGGGGCCUUCGGGCCUUGGUAGCGCAGCUAACGCGUGAAGUUGACCGCCUGGGGAGUACGGUCGCAAGAUUAAAACUCAAAGGAAUUGACGGGGACCCGCACAAGCGGUGGAUGAUGUGGAUUAAUUCGAUGCAACGCGAAAAACCUUACCUACCCUUGACAUGUCUGGAAUCCCGAAGAGAUUUGGGAGUGCUCGCAAGAGAACCGGAACACAGGUGCUGCAUGGCUGUCGUCAGCUCGUGUCGUGAGAUGUUGGGUUAAGUCCCGCAACGAGCGCAACCCUUGUCAUUAGUUGCUACGAAAGGGCACUCUAAUGAGACUGCCGGUGACAAACCGGAGGAAGGUGGGGAUGACGUCAAGUCCUCAUGGCCCUUAUGGGUAGGGCUUCACACGUCAUACAAUGGUCGGGACAGAGGGUCGCCAACCCGCGAGGGGGAGCCAAUCCCAGAAACCCGAUCGUAGUCCGGAUCGCAGUCUGCAACUCGACUGCGUGAAGUCGGAAUCGCUAGUAAUCGCGGAUCAGCAUGUCGCGGUGAAUACGUUCCCGGGUCUUGUACACUCCGCCCGUCACACCAUGGGAGUGGGUUUUACCAGAAGUAGUUAGCCUAACCGCAAGGGGGGCGAUUACC
rnacentral:rRNA from 1 species